GGCUUGUCUCAAAGAUUAAGCCAUGCAUGUCUAAGCAUGAGCCGAACUAUGGUGAAGCCGCGAAUGGCUCAUUACAACAGCCGUUGUUUCUUGGAUCUUGAUUUACUUGGAUAACUGUGGUAAUUCUAGAGCUAAUACAUGCAACCAAGCUCCAACCUCACGGGAGGAGCGCAUUUAUUAGACCAAGACCAAUCAGGCUUUGCCUGGAAUCUGGUGACUCUGAAUAACUUUGCUGAUCACAUGGUCCUAGUACCGGUGACAUAUCUUUCAAGUGUCUGCCCUAUCAACUUUCGAUGGUAGUUUAUGUGCCUACCAUGGUUGUAACGGGUAACGGAGAAUAAGGGUUCGACUCCGGAGAGGGAGCCUGAGAAAUG
rnacentral:rRNA from 3 species